rnacentral:rRNA from 1 species
GGGGAAUAUUGGACAAUGGGCGCAAGCCUGAUCCAGCCAUGCCGCGUGGGUCAAGAAGGCCUUCGGGUUGUAAAGCCCUUUUGUUGGGAAAGAAAAGCAGCCGGCCAAUACCCGGUUGUUCUGACGGUACCCAAAGCAUAAGCCCCUGCUCACUUCGUGCCAUCAGCCGCGGUAAUACGAAGGGUGCAAGCGUUACUCGGAAUUACUGGGCGUAAAGCGUGCGUAGGUGGUGGGUUAAGUCCGUUGUGAAAGCCCUGGGCUCAACCUGGGAACGGCAGUGGAUACUGGAUCACGAGAGUGUGGCAGAGGGUAGUGGAAUUCCCGGUGUAGCAGUGAAAUGCGUAGAGAUCGGGAGGAACAUCAGUGGCGAAGGCGACUGCCUGGGCCAACACUGACACUGAGGCACGAAAGCGUGGGGAGCAAACA